GAGAAGACUCUCUCGGCCGACCCGACUCGACCCCGCGGCCGAAAUAAAGCAAGCGACCGACGCAGCGCCAGUGAACCCCACCACCGUCUCUUCUCUUCUCAGUUCGCACGUCUCACCGCGCGUUUCUCUUCUGCCCCCGCUCCACGCCAGGCAAACCCGAAGCCCCCACCACACGACGCCGCCCGCCGUCCCCUCCUCUGGAAUCGGGCGGGGGAAGAAGUGUUCAGGACUGGCGGCAUGGACCGCAUCGUCGGCCGCAAGUUCAAGCUCGGCCGGAAGAUCGGCUCCGGCUCCUUCGGGGUCAUCUACCUCGCCACGGAUAUGGACACCUACGAGAUCGUCGCGGUGAAGAUUGAAAGUAGCAGCUCAAAGCACCCCCAGCUGUUUUAUGAGGCAAAGAUCUACAACGCCCUGCAAGGAGGAAGUGGCAUUGCGAAUGUUAAAUGGUGUGGUGUAGAUGGGGAGGAAAAUGUUCUUAUCAUUGAUCUGUUGGGGCCGAGCUUAGAGAAUUUGUUUGUCUACUGCGGCAGAAAAUUCACCUUGAAGACUGUCCUAAUGCUUGCAGACCAAAUGCUUACAAGGAUAGAAUUUAUGCAUUCCAAAGGAUACUUGCAUAGAGACAUAAAACCUGACAAUUUUCUAAUGGGUCUCGGCCGGAAGGCAAAUCAGGUCUAUGUAAUUGAUUUUGGGCUUGCAAAAAGAUACCGGGAUUCUACUACGAAUCGACAUAUUCCUUACAGGGAACAUAAGAACUUAACUGGCACUGCACGUUAUGCAAGUAGCAACACUCACCUUGGAAUUGAGCAAAGUCGACGGGAUGAUUUGGAAUCUCUUGGCUAUGUUCUCCUAUAUUUUCUCCGAGGAAGUCUCCCCUGGCAGGGACUAAAAGCUGCAACGAAAAAGCAGAAGUAUGAGAAGAUAUGUGAGAAAAAGAUUUCGACACCUAUCGAGGUGUUAUGCAAAUCCUGUCCGGUAGAAUUUGCAUCUUACUUCCACUACUGCAAGUCGUUGACAUUUGAUCAGCGGCCUGAUUAUGGAUUCGUGAAGCGCCUUUUUCGAGACUUAUUCGACCGCCAAGGUUAUGAUUUUGAUUAUGUCUUUGACUGGACUGUUUUGAAAUAUAAACAAGGCCAAAAGACCCAGCAUGUUCCUGGGGCAACUAUUGCUCGAGCAAUCCCAGCACAUCUUGACAAACGAGCGGGUGUAAAUGGGGAUGUCCAUCCAAAUGAAGCCCAUGAACAGAUGGAGUCAAGCCAUAUGACCGGGUCAGCUGCACAGUUACAGGUCGCCUCUCUUGUGGAGCUAGAAAUGUGGAAAUGCUCAACUAGACUCCAUUUCUUUUAGAGUGGUCAGAUUCAAGAAUCACAAAAUCAAUUCAAACAUCCUGAUGCCUAAUGCAUGUUACAAGGAUGGCUACAGAUCCGAUUGAUUAUGCAAGGGGCUUUAUCUAGAAAGGAUUCCGCAGUUGGUUCUCUCCAUUCGAGGGGCCGAAUGCUUUCGCACGGACGGCGGAAAACCCGGGCUGCAGGUGGAAUCAUUUUCUCUGACCAGCAAAGGUCUUUUUCUUAAGCACCCAAUCAUGAGCCUUCUUUCAAUUAUUUCCUGGGACUUGGAGCAUUAAGAAACAAUCCCCAGACAAUGCAGGCAGGAGGUAAAGCUCCAACUCUCGCAUGUUUGCUGAAAAGCUACAAGUGCUGUUCAGGUUAAAGUUGGUAGUAAAUCAAAUACUAGCAUAGGUUCUAGUCGAAAGUUGAAACGUGCAAUGCCAAACCCAAACAUUUCUGUUCCUCAAGUUGCAGGCACUCCUAUCAUCCCAUAUACAGAUCUACUUGCCUCGAUAUCAUGGAGACUAGCCGAACUCUGUUCUCUCUGUUGCCGCCAACGGUUUUUGGAUAAUACACACGUAAGGAUAGAUACCAUCACCCGAUUAUAGAUCCUUUCUAAAGAGGCACACUACGUCGAUGAUUCAAUCCCUUCUCGUUUAACCAUGUUUCUUUUGUAUGCAAUAUAGCAUGAUCAGUGCAAAUUUUCAGACGAAACCUCACCUCUGUGUAGAUUGGGCAUGUAGCAUGGAGUUUGCUGUUAAUCCCAGUCCCUAGAUUAGUAUGGUGAGAGAGGUUCAGGUGGCAGAUCAUGAUAACAUAACUUAUCAUCAAGAUCAGAAACGCUCUUCCCGCCAUGUUUCUCAUCAAAAUGUUGGGAGUUAGACCCGAGUAUCUCUCCUAUAUUUUCAUGCCUACGAACCAAAUAGAUGGCUAUAUAACCAACAACCCCCAAAUCCUCUUUCGUUUCUCAAGCAAAUAAGAUGUGGCUUUUACACAAAUUACUAGAAGUCCAUGGGUCAGGUGAAGUCCAUGGGUCAGGGGUUUUUUACCACGAAAUCUGUUUAUGAGUGGUUAGAAAAAGAUUUGUCAGGACCUGACUACAAGUUGAUCUGGAAAGCUAGGAUUCCUUUGAAAAUUAAAAUCUUCCUCUGGCAGCUGUUUCAGAAUGCCAUCCCUACUAGGGACAACUUGCGGAAAAGGAACUGGCCCGGGAACCCAACAUGUUCAUUUUGCCAUGAUAUUGAAUCUGCGGAUCAUCUUUUCUUUGGGUGUGUGUUUGCUCGGUCUGUUUGGGGGGCGAUUGGGUCAGCCCUGGGAGCAUCCUGCACUCCUAAAACCAUUUGGCAAAGUUGGGCAUGGCUCUAUAAAUAUCUUCCUGGUGGUAAAAAGCAUUACAUGACUAUUGUUGCUGCUGUCUGUUGGGGCAUUUGGUGCACUCGUAACAGGGUAACGUUUGACAAAUGUAUCAUUCGCUCCCCGUUGGAGGCUGUUUUCACUGCAUGCUCUUUUUUGAUGUAUUGGUCAGGUCUGCUGAAAGGGAUCGACAAGGAAAACGUCCAGGCUGGAGUGCAGAAGAUGGUGCGCGCGGCUGCUUCGUUGGCGGAUCGUUCUGCUACCAGGGGGAGGCUCAUGCUGGGAAAUGGUGCUUGAAGUUGUUCUGCCCAGUAGACUUAGAAGUUUGUGAUCUCACUGGGGUUUGAUGCCCGCUGAGAUGUUCGGUGGUUCCUUUUGGUGGUGGUGUCCCGUACUUGGCUUCCUGGUUUCGUGGGAUGUUCGUUUCGUGCUGUUCGCUUUGAGGAUGGGAUGGUUGGUGUCAACAGGUUUUUGCCCCGUGGUGGAUGACUCAUUUUAGAGUCAUUUGUUGCGGGUUUCCUGUUGAUGCUCCAACUCGCUCUCCCCUUUCGGUCUCCUUUUGCUUAGUCGUUUUCUAGUAGCCCAAUGGGCGAUGGCUGUAAAAACUACUGAGACUGCUGUAUUUCCGUUAAGCAAUUAAUGGAAAGGGGU